AGAGGGUGCAAGCGUUAUUCGGAAUUACUGGGCGUAAAGCGCGCGUAGGCGGAUGAUUAAGUCAGUUGUGAAAGCCCUGGGCUCAACCUAGGAACUGCAUCUGAUACUGGUCAUCUAGAGUUUAAGAGAGGGAAGUGGAAUUCCAGGUGUAGCAGUGAAAUGCGUAGAUAUCUGGAGGAACAUCAGUGGCGAAGGCGACUUCCUGGCUUAAAACUGACGCUGAGGUGCGAAAGCGUGGGUAGCGAACGGGAUUAGAUACCCCGGUAGUCCACGCCGUAAACGAUGUCAACUAGUUGUUGGUCUUAUUAAAAAGAUUAGUAACGAAGCUAACGCGAUAAGUUGACCGCCUGGGGAGUACGGUCGCAAGAUUAAAACUCAAAGGAAUUGACGGGGGCCCGCACAAGCGGUGGAGCAUGUGGUUUAAUUCGAUGCAACGCGAAGAACCUUACCAUCCCUUGACAUGUAGUGAACUUUCCAGAGAUGGAUUGGUGCCUUCGGGAACACUAACACAGGUGCUGCAUGGCUGUCGUCAGCUUGUGUCGUGAGAUGUUGGGUUAAGUCCCGCAACGAGCGCAACCCUUAUCUUUAGUUGCUACCAUUAAGUUGAGAACUCUAAAGAGACUGCCGGUGAUAAACCGGAGGAAGGUGGGGACGACGUCAAGUCAUCAUGGCCCUUAUGGGAUGGGCUACACACGUGCUACAAUGGGGGGUACAAAGAGCUGCUAACUGGCAACAGUGUGCGAAUCUCAAAAAGCCUCUCGUAGUCCGGAUCGGAGUCUGCAACUCGACUCCGUGAAGUCGGAAUCGCUAGUAAUCGCGGAUCAGAAUGCCGCGGUGAAUACGUUCCCGGGCCUU
rnacentral:rRNA from 1 species